CGGCCGGGCUGGGUUGCCUGGCCUUCGGCCUGGGCGGCCUCAAGCGCCGGCCGGGCUGGGGUUCUUGGCUUUCGGCCCUGUUUGGCCUCAGGUGUCGGCCGG
rnacentral:tRNA from 1 species